rnacentral:lncRNA from 1 species
AAUAACAACUGGAAUUUAAACAAACGAACACCACCCCCUCCAAAACCAGCCCGCGCAGAGCUGCCGGGUCCCAAGCGCGGCCGCGGGGUCUGGGAAAGUCACUGAUGCUCCGUGGGGGCCGCGCUCAGGUACGCCGCUCCGCCCGCGGGAAAGACAGCGCGGAAAGAAAGGCGAAGACUUUCACGCUGAAAUGCUGGGGUCUGGUCCUGCCUCCCCCCUCCCCGCGAAGACGAGCCGGGAAGCCUGGCAGCGGCUCCGCGGGUCACACCCGACCCUCGGCCGCGUCCACGAGCUCGGCGCCUGCGGGCCGUCCAGGGGCAGAGUGAGAGAGGCCUUCUUUUGCCUUCCCACUGCCAAGCCAUCCUCCCAUCCCUCUGUGUUCUGAGCAGAGGGGCAGACUGGGGGUGCACAGCGUGGUCCUGGGUUAUCUGGUGUGCACCUGACUCCAGGAGUCCCAUCCUUGGUGGGUCCUGGCUGCAGCAAUGGGUGCUCCUCUGGGAACUGCUGCUACUGCCCCGUCUGGGGUCUGGAAGCAGUGUGGCUAGAGGCCAUUCGGCUCUGAAGUUGGCGAGAUGCCAUCUUCCUCCUUCCGGCCUCUGAGUGAGGAUGGAGCUAGCUCCCACCUUCCUUUCUGGCCAUUCCGGGGCAGCCCAGGGUGGCCAGUGUGGAGGGUGGCACUCCUCUAUGAGGGACCCCACAGAGCAUGUGCCAUCUCCAUUUAGGAGCUAUCUGUCUCCUGGAUCCCGUGUUUGAGAAAUGAGUUGGUGUCUUCACAGAAUGAGGAUCCCCAGAGCCAUCUUGCCCGGUGCUGGCUACCCGCAUGCCUGUCCCUCUCUGGGUGGGGGUAGCCUGGUGGCGGUGGGACUCUGCGGCCAUGCUUUCGUGUGAUGGUGCCUCUCCUGAUGUCUAACCUCAGCUCCUCACCUCUCGGGCUUCCUGUGGGAAUUGAGAGAAGUGGGGAAAAGGAGAGGCCUGGUUGGGGCUCAUGCUAGGGGCCGCAGAGGAAAUAAUCCAAAAGGGCGUAGGAGGAGGUGAAAAAUGAAAGUAAAAAACAACUGUUUUCUAUUUACAAAUUUAAAUAAACAGAACAGCCUUCCC